rnacentral:rRNA from 1 species
GGCCAGCAGCCGCGGUAAUACGGAGGAUGCAAGCGUUAUCCGGAAUGAUUGGGCGUAAAGCGUCCGCAGGUGGCUAUGUAAGUCUGCUGUUAAAGAGCAAGGCUCAACCUUGUAAAGGCAGUGGAAACUACAUAGCUAGAGUGCGUUCGGGGCAGAGGGAAUUCCUGGUGUAGCGGUGAAAUGCGUAGAUAUCAGGAAGAACACCAGUGGCGAAAGCGCUCUGCUAGGCCGCAACUGACACUGAGGGACGAAAGCUAGGGGAGCGAAUGGGAUUAGAUACCCCAGUAGUCCUAGCCGUAAACGAUGGAUACUAGGCGUUGCUUGUAUCGACCCGAGCAGUGCCGUAGCUAACGCGUUAAGUAUCCCGCCUGGGGAGUACGCACGCAAGUGUGAAACUCAAAGGAAUUGACGGGGGCCCGCACA